UGUUAGGUGACUUCUUAUUUUGAAUGGAAUCUCUUUUUUAGACAUGAAGCACUGUCUAGAAUUGCCAGUACAUCGCCAUUCACAUUCUCAAACCGUGUAGGAGUGACGCAGAAACCAAGCUGGGGAUGAUUACUUUUCAGGCAUGCCAAGACUGAAGUGCAGGUACCAGGAAGUGGGAAGGAAGACCAUCAGAGACUUGUGGAAAAUGUGACAGAAGUGGAGAGAAGCAUUUCCUGUGUCAUGGUGACUGAGACGAAACAAGAAACCACAAUGCUUAUUUCUGGUAGUGAUGCAGCAGUCUGGAAACAAAUGUGCUGCAGAAACAUCCUUCUUCCUCUUCUUUUUAAAGACAAAACUAUUUACGAUAAUCUUGAAGUGGAAACAUUUACAGCCGUCGGAACAGGGCACCGAGAGGAUAGAGUAGAUAUGAGGGACCGGAGGAAAGCAUUUGAUGAAGAAAGGGACCAAAAUAUUAGGAGGAGGAGGACAGCAGUUGGUUCUGGCAAUAAAGAAGAGCCAAGACAGGACCUUUCACUCCUCCCCACUUACACUAUGUGACUUGGCUCACCAGCAAAGUUCUUCCAUAGGGGAGGUGCCAAUGGUUGCUAUGGAAGAACAGCUUUCUCCCUCCCUCUUUCCUGUGUAUCUUUACAGCCAAGAGGCAGAAUUACAGCCUACUGCCACCCGCUCUGAAUCACUGCAACACAGGAAGCUGCAUACCCUGCCUCUGGUGUUGGCUGUCAAGUUUUUUCUAAGGACAAGUAGUGGGAAUCUAUAAUCCACAAACCUUCUGUUUUCUGAGCACUGUUUCAAGGAUCCAAAAACCUAUUGUGGGCGCUCCCCCUUUCUUUUUGCUCAGAUCUGCUUUUGGGUAACAGUACUUGGCCCAUCUCUGUAUGCUGUUGUUUUUUACACUCAUGGUGACUUUCACAUCUCAGUGGUGUCAACAACAGUUUCCCCAUGGAUGUUAGUGCUUUGUGGAUUUAUUAACUGAUCUCACUUAAUACCUUGCUUUAUCUCCAAAAAGCUCAGAUCAGCUUACAUAUUAUUAUUAUUAUUACAUUUAUAUCCCGCUCUUCCUCCAAGGAGCCCAGAGUGGUGUACUACAUACUUAAGUUUCUCUUUCACAACAACCCUGUGAAGUAGGCUAGGCUGAGAGAGAAGUGACUGGCCCAGAGUCACCCAGCUAGUAUUAUGGCUGAAUGGAGAUUUGAACUCGGGUCUCCCCGGUCCUAGUCCAGCACUCUAACCGCUACACCAUGCUGGCUCUCUAACAUAUAGAACUAACAUAUAGUUCCCAAACACUCGCUUCUCCAGACAGUUAACAGGGCCAGAUUUGCUUAACUUCUGUAGUAGCAUUGCAUCUUAUGCUUCAAACUAUCUUCUGCACCAUUAGGUUGCAUGCUUAAUCAUGUAAGUUGCACCCCUGUUUUAGAUACAACUAUGAAAGUACAACCAGCUACUCAUAGCCAUGACUGGCCAGAUGGUUGCAGCAUCAUGGUUGAUCCAUGCCCCCUCUGACUAUAAAGGCUAGAACAAACAGAAUUUCAACUGUGUAUGAGUGUGAUUACAAAACAGCAAGCUCACUUCUAAAACAAGUGCAAUCUGUGCCCUGUUUAGCAAUAGCACUGUAUGCUGUUUCCCCCAUCCCACAAUCACAGAGAAGCGUGCCCUCUUGUGGUUGGAUGGUAUAAUAACAUUUGACAACUAUACACUACUCUUUUUUGACUUUUGGAUUUAUAUACUCUAAAUUGCUAACAUGAUUGAAUAUUUAGUACAUGCAUUUGGAAUGCUUGUAUUACUAAUGAAAAAAUGAGAAUGAUAAAUGAUUCAUUAAUACAACCUUUCAAAUAUAUGUACCUUGUAUUUCCUAUGUGCCUAAUGUAUCGGAGAACAACUAAUUGAAACUGUAGACAAAUUAACCAAAUAUUUUUGUUUGGUCUAAACUUAGUUUCCCUAUAAAGGCAAUUCCCCACCUCAUAUGUAACCAUAUAUUCCCCUCAUAUCUCUCCCAUACCUAGCUGAACACUUAAAAAAAAAAAAUCUGGGGUCUGGCUAGGAGAAGAAAUGUUACAAUAACUUUAAUCACAUCUAAAAAUGGUUAAAAGGUACCACAACGAUAUUCUCUGAAGUUAGAAUUCAAUCUUGUGUAACAUAUUGUGGGUCAGAGUACAUGACCAAGUAUUUGUAGGGAACAAUUUUCCUCUUUCAAACUUUGUAUUUGUUUACUCAGUCUUGGAGUACUUCCAAAAGUGAAAGACAGAAAAGGAGGCCAGAGUGUCUGUCGAUAAUCCUUGCAUCAGGUGACUGACCAUGUAAAAAUGAUCCCAGUCAGAAUAGUGGGUGGUGGUUGAAGACGGUGCAAGCGAUUAACAACAUCAUGCUCUAUUGAUGAAUUGAAAGCAAUCAUUACUGUAAACAUGUAGACACUAUAGU